GUGCUCACUUCAGCAGCACAAAUACUAAGAUUGGAACAAUACAGAGAAGAUUAGCAUGGCCCCUGUGCAAGGAUGCCAUGUAAAUUCGUGAAGCAUCCCAUAUUUUU